ensembl:lncRNA
GUUCCAUCCCUGGGUCAGGAAGAUCCCCUGGGGAAGGGAAUGGCAACCCACUCCAGUAUUCUUGGCCUGGAGAAUUCCAUGGAUAGAAGAGCCUGGUGGGCUACAGUUCAUGGGGUUGCAAACAGUCGGACAGGACUGAGCGACUUUCACUUUCACUGACUACAUGGAGCUGCCUGUCUCAUUUUUUUCAGUUGCAAGAUACCUUCUCAGUUUGUCGAGUUCGACUCUUGCGACCCCAGGGACUGUAGCCCGCCAGGCUCCUCUGUCCUCGGACGUGGAAAGGAAGAUAACUCCCAGAGGAAGCUCCCUCCACCCCCAGCCCAUCCUCAGAAUUUCAAAACGAAGAGGAAUGUGUGGACAAUAAGCUGUUCAAUCUUCUCUUUGAGAUGCUGGAAAAUUCCUUUUUAUAUGUGCCCAAACCGAGAUGAGCACAGAUUUGGAAGAUAGGAAACUGGUGACCGGGCUUGUGGAGGAAAAGACAGGAGCGGGAGAUCACGUCAACGUCUUCUUUCUAGUAAACAGCAGCAGGGAGCCACA